rnacentral:rRNA from 1 species
UACGGGGGGGGCAAGCGUUGUUCGGAAUUACUGGGCGUAAAGGGUUUGUAGGUGGCUUGCUAAGUCAGACGUGAAAUCCCUCAGCUUAACUGGGGAACUGCGUCUGAUACUGGUUGGCUUGAGUGCAGGAGAGGAACGCGGAAUUCCAGGUGUAGCGGUGAAAUGCGUAGAUAUCUGGAGGAACACCGGUGGCGAAGGCGGCGUUCUGGACUGCAACUGACACUGAGGAACGAAAGCCAGGGGAGCAAACGGG